GAUGAACGCUGGCGGUGUGCCUAAUACAUGCAAGUCGAACGGGCUCUUCGGAGCUAGUGGCGGACGGGUGAGUAACACGUUGGUACCUGCCCCAAAGUGGGGAAUAACUGCCCGAAAGGGUGGCUAAUACCGCAUAAUACCGUAAGGUUAAAGCAGAAAUGCGCUUUGGGAGGGGCCUGCGUCCCAUUAGCUUGUUGGUAGUGUAAUGGACUACCAAGGCUACGAUGGGUAGCUGGAUCGAGAGGUUGACCAGCCACACUGGGACUGAGAUACGGCCCAGACUCCUACGGGAGGCAGCAGUAAGGAAUCUUCCACAAUGGACGAAAGUCUGAUGGAGCAACACCGCGUGCAGGAUGACGGUCUUCGGAUUGUAAACUGCUUUUAUAUGGGAAG
rnacentral:rRNA from 1 species